ACUUGUGUUAAAACUUCACCUAAGACUCAGGGGGCGUUAGCCUUAAUCAUCCUGCCGAGGUGGUAUCAAGUAGUAUUCGAUACCUCUAUGUCUUGGUGGACAUGGAGUUUUUUUAUAUAAAA
rfam:Lactobacillus thailandensis DSM 22698 = JCM 13996 strain DSM 22698 Scaffold10, whole genome shotgun sequence.